UGUGGAUAUGCACUCAGAGUAACAUCACAAACAUAUUACUAAUUUUGUGAUGCUCUUUCAAGCUGUGAUGAAAUUUUUGUCUAGACUUGUUGAGUUCAAAAUUUUGGUUAAUUGGGGAAUGGUCCAUUCUGGCCAGUAAACUAUAUAUUUUUGCAUAAAAAAACGAGGACACGUUGCACCGCCGAGUGACCCUUCUAUUACUGAUCUUUAUCCUGUGACAUAGUGAUGAUACCAGUGCAGGUAGCGACGAUAUCAAGACCUCUGUGGAUUGAGAGGGAUACAACUACCUGAAAAAUUUGGAACUUCGUCGGCAACUCUUCGGUCGAAACGUCGAAGUUCUGCUUAUAUUUUUCAGGUAACCCUCUUAAUCCACAGUGGUCCAGUGUCUUACACCCACGAUACCGAGUUCGCUCAGUGAGCUCCAUAUAUAUAUCUGGAGCGAGAACUCGAGUCUAAAAGGUGAAGCCAGCUUCGUGUUAACCGCGCAGACAAAAACAAUGGAAAAGUACUGGAACUGACGUCGAAAUAGCUCCUUCAAUUUCCGCCAUCUUGGCAAGGAGUGUGCCGAAUUUUCGUAUUUUGACCCCGAUUUAAAGAAUGACACUAUGGUUUUAUGAACUGAUAACUUGGUCAGCGGUACGGUCCGUUAGAAAAAAAACAGGAAUUUGUUGGGGAAAAUGGUAUAAGAGCUGUUUACGACCUUCAGAGCUACUGACGUCAAUAGCCGCCAUCUUGGUUUCACUUUUCUCACAGGCCGAAUGACUGAAGUUCUUGCUACGAUAUACAGGGAUCGCACUGGGUUCCGCUUAUCACGACAUCGAAUUUAGCGGUUUCAGGAAUAUCUUACCACUUAAAAUUGCGAUAAUAGGACAAAAUAAAACGAAAUCUGUUAAACGAAAUCGCAGACAAAAGUCUUAAAGGAUGGAAAGUGAAAGAAUAGAAUAAAGAAUGUCGAUCACUCCUGAAUUGAAUAAACUCCUGUGAUAGAUAGCCACCGUAAGAGUAACCUUCAGUUCCCACUUUGUUGAGCGAGGACGUGUACCCACAUUAGAGAGGUUAAGAUACCCCGGUUUCGGUGUACGUGUACGGGUAGCAUGAUUUUGGUUAGCAAUAUUUUCGUCGAUAUCUGUACCUUUACUCGUAAUUAAGGUGCACAUUUUUCGCAUUAUAUCAUUGUCUAUUGCAAGAGAACAGAAAAAAGUAUGAUCGAAUUACAGACAUCAGUAAAACAAGAUGACACUACUCGUACCCGUACAUCGCUUUUCACUUAAUUUAUCAACAGUAAUAAGCACAUAUCCACUAGCCAAACUUGAUGAGACCGAUAGUUCUGUAAAUCCAAAUACGUUGGUAGUUUCUAUACUUCAUUCAUCUUUCGACACUCCUAACCUCCUCCGCAGGCAACUGUGCAGGGUGGAAAAAUAAUUUUCUUCCUGGGAGCACAACCUGGAGACAAAAAUUUCCUGCAGACCAACGGAGUAUUUUUGUGCUAAAUCUGCAUGUGCAUAAACAUAUAGUGUUCUAUCUGACCGUGUUCUAUCUUUUAAAUUCAAG
rnacentral:lncRNA from 1 species